GCCGAUGUGGCUUAAUGGUAGAGCAGCGGUUUUGUAAACCGCGGGUUGGGGGUUCGAUUCCCUCCAUCGGCUCCA
rnacentral:tRNA from 1 species